AACGAACGCUGGCGGCAUGCCUAACACAUGCAAGUCGAACGAGCCCUUCGGGGUUAGUGGCGCACGGGUGCGUAACGCGUGGGAAUCUGCCCUUCGGUUGGGAAUAACUCAGGGAAACUUGAGCUAAUACCUUAUAAUGUCUUCGGACCAAAGAUUUAUCGCCGAGGGAUGAGCCCGCGUAGGAUUAGGUAGUUGGUGGGGUAAUGGCCUACCAAGCCGACGAUCAUUAGCUGGUCUGAGAGGAUGAUAAGCCACACUGGGACCGAGACACGGCCCAGGAUGCUACGGGAAGCAGCAGGGGGGAAUAUUGGACAAUGGGCUAAAGCCUGAUCCAACAAUGCCGCGGGAGUGGUGAAGGCCUUAGGGUUGUAAAGCUCUUUUACCAGGGAUGAUAAUGACAGUACCUGGAGAAUAAGCUCCGGCUAACUCCGUGCCAGCCGCCGCAGUAA
rnacentral:rRNA from 1 species